GGUUUGGGCCUUGCUUGCGCAGGAUAGGUGGGAGGCUUUGAAGAUGUUCUUGCGGGGACAUUGGAGCCAAUGGUGAGAUACCACUCUAGCAUGGCUAAAAUUCUAACUUUGAACCGUUAUCCGGUCGAAGAACAGUUUCAGGUGGGCAGUUUGACUGGGGCGGUCGCCUCCUAAAAGGUAACGGAGGCGUGCAAAGGUUCCCUCAGGCUGGUCGGACAUCAGUCGUAGAGUGUAAAGGCAUAAGGGAGCUUGACUGCGAGACCUACAAGUCGAGCAGAGACGAAAGUCGGCCUUAGUGAUCCGACGGUUCCGAGUGGAAGGGCCGUCGCUCAACGGAUAAAAGUUACUCUAGGGAUAACA
rnacentral:rRNA from 1 species